UCGCGGUAUGGGAUGGGGUCGCGUCCUAUCAGCUUGACGGCGGGGUAACGGCCCACCGUGGCUUCGACGGGUAGCCGGCCUGAGAGGGCGACCGGCCACAUUGGGACUGAGAUACGGCCCAGACUCCUACGGGAGGCAGCAGUGGGGAAUAUUGCACCAUGGGCGCAAGCCUGAUGCAGCGACGCCGCGUGAGGGAUGGAGGCCUUCGGGUUGUAAACCUCUUUUAUCGGGGAGCAAGCGAGAGUGAGUUUACCCGUUGAAUAAGCACCGGCUAACUACGUGCCAGCAGCCGCGGUAAUACGUAGGGUGCAAGCGUUAUCCGGAAUUAUUGGGCGUAAAGGGCUCGUAGGCGGUUCGUCGCGUCCGGUGUGAAAGUCCAUCGCUUAACGGUGGAUCCGCGCCGGGUACGGGCGGG
rnacentral:rRNA from 1 species